AGUGAACGCUGGCGGUAGGCCUAACACAUGCAAGUCGAACGGCAGCACAGUAAGAGCUUGCUCUUACGGGUGGCGAGUGGCGGACGGGUGAGGAAUACAUCGGAAUCUACUUUUUCGUGGGGGCUAACGUAGGGAAACUUACGCUAAUACCGCAUACGACCUACGGGUGAAAGCAGGGGAUCUUCGGACCUUGCGCGAUUGAAUGAGCCGAUGUCGGAUUAGCUAGUUGGCGGGGUAAGGGCCCACCAAGGCGACGAUCCGUAGCUGGUCUGAGAGGAUGAUCAGCCACACUGGAACUGAGACACGGUCCAGACUCCUACGGGAGGCAGCAGUGGGGAAUAUUGGACAAUGGGCGCAAGCCUGAUCCAGCCAUACCGCGUGGGUGAAGAAGGCCUUCGGGUUGUAAAGCCCUUUUGUUGGGAAAGAAAAGCAGCAGGUUAAUACCCCGCUGUUCUGACGGUACCCAAAGAAUAAGCACCGGCUAACUUCGUG
rnacentral:rRNA from 1 species